rnacentral:lncRNA from 1 species
AUUUUGCGGCCUAAAGUCAAAUUUUAAUGAGGGACUUUAAUGUUUUUAAAUUUUUUUAUUAUUAUUUGAAGUCAAUUUUUUUAGUUUUUUUAGAUGCAGAGUUACUAAUAAUUUUCUUAUAAUCAUUUUUUUUUAUCAAGAGCACCUUUUUGAGAUUGUAUUAGAUUUUGAAUUCUUCUUCUUUUCUUGAGUUUUUCAUAACCAGAUUCAUACUUUCUAUUUGACAUACUUAUCUUCUAAUAAAUAAUCUAAAAAUGCACUAAAUAACAAAAUAUUAAAUUUUAGAUGAGAAAGUAAUAAAAAGAUAGAAUGAUAGAACCUGGUUCAAGAACGGAUAACUUGAUAUGACUUGAAUUAUGAAAAUAGAACGAACAAAAAAUACUCCACUAUUUCUUGAAUCAAUACACUGAACUCUGAAUUAUAAAGUUUCACAAUAAUGCUUGAUCUUUGGCUAUUGUAGAAUGGAGGCAUGAAUAAUAAAUUGAAGAACAAAGUAUAAAAAUAUAAUAUAGUGCACAUGUCUGUUUUUACUUUGCUCGAGAAAGUUGUGCUCGAGUAAGUUGUGGUCUACUAUCUCAAAUUUGUGUUCUCUUUUUAUGCAAACUUCCCAUGUAUUGUUUCACUUNNNNNNNNNNNNNNNNNNNNNNNNNNNNNNNNNNNNNNNNNNNNNNNNNNNNNNNNNNNNNNNNNNNNNNNNNNNNNNNNNNNNNNNNNNNNNNNNNNNNNNNNNNNNNNNNNNNNNNNNNNNNNNNNNNNNNNNNNNNNNNNNNNNNNNNNNNNNNNNNNNNNNNNNNNNNNNNNNNNNNNNNNNNNNNNNNNNNNNNNNNNNNNNNNNNNNNNNNNNNNNNNNNNNNNNNNNNNNNNNNNNNNNNNNNNNNNNNNNNNNNNNNNNNNNNNNNNNNNNNNNNNNNNNNNNNNNNNNNNNNNNNNNNNNNNNNNNNNNNNNNNNNNNNNNNNNNNNNNNNNNNNNNNNNNNNNNNNNNNNNNNNNNNNNNNNNNNNNNNNNNNNNNNNNNNNNNNNNNNNNNNNNNNNNNNNNNNNNNNNNNNNNNNNNNNNNNNNNNNNNNNNNNNNNNNNNNNNNNNNNNNNNNNNNNNNNNNNNNNNNNNNNNNNNNNNNNNNNNNNNNNNNNNNNNNNNNNNNNNNNNNNNNNNNNNNNNNNNNNNNNNNNNNNNNNNNNNNNNNNNNNNNNNNNNNNNNNNNNNNNNNNNNNNNNNNNNNNNNNNNNNNNNNNNNNNNNNNNNNNNNNNNNNNNNNNNNNNNNNNNNNNNNNNNNNNNNNNNNNNNNNNNNNNNNNNNNNNNNNNNNNNNNNNNNNNNNNNNNNNNNNNNNNNNNNNNNNNNNNNNNNNNNNNNNNNNNNNNNNNNNNNNNNNNNNNNNNNNNNNNNNNNNNNNNNNNNNNNNNNNNNNNNNNNNNNNNNNNNNNNNNNNNNNNNNNNNNNNNNNNNNNNNNNNNNNNNNNNNNNNNNNNNNNNNNNNNNNNNNNNNNNNNNNNNNNNNNNNNNNNNNNNNNNNNNNNAACGCCCUUGGAAAGGGUUUGGGGGUUCAGUUAGAAAAUUACAUUGUAAAUAUAAUGUCAAUUUAUAUAUAUAUUAAAUGUUAAAUUCUUUUGACUUUUUUCAUGUUUACCUUUUUUAUUUUUCGAAUUCACUUGUUGAUAGUCCUGCCUGGAUCAUUCACCUCCCAAAUAAUAAUAAUAACCACACAAAGUGCGUAUGAAGAUUAAUAGUUCACCAGGCUAUUAAAGUUUAAAUUACUUUUCCUUCUGUAUCAAGUUUUAGGUUGGCAGUUCAAAUUCUUUCAAAUAAUAGAGUAAAAUAGAAGUUUCUGGUUCCAGUGUCAUCGUCACUUUUCAAUAAAAUAUUACAAAUAUCGUUACUUUUACGAAUAUAUAUAUGUACACACAAUUUAAGAAUGGGGAUAUAGUGAUAUUUAUAAUAAUCUUAUAGAGAUUCUCAGGUCAAAAGGUGUCUUUUCCUAUCAAUUCUUCCUCCACAUUCUCUUCACCUUAACAUAUAAGCAAUUGAAUAACAUAAAGAGGCCAUUAAAGGUAUCUUUAAUCCUUAAGCUCUCAUCCACACCUAUUCCUAUCAAGCCUGCUUCCGCACUACUGAUCAGUCUCCUUUUCUUUUUAGUUUUCAUGAAAAAUAUAUAUCUCCAUUCUCGCUUCGCUGUUUUUUUAAAAAAUUUAUGAUCUUUAAUAUACAAUAAUAUUUAGGUGAUUGAUAGAAGUUUCUCAUUAAGGGUGAAAUAGAAAAUUAAUUUAAAGUUAAUUUAUUUUCAAAAAUAAAAUUAUACUCCUAUUACUCUUCUAGAAACAUGCUAAUAGAAAGUAGUGUGACAUAAAUUGAAACCGAGAUUUUUUUUUAACAUAGUAGAGUAUGGAAUUCAUCGAACACAAAGAUUAAUAAACCUAUAAUCUUUAACAUUCGAUAACAUUUAUGUGACUUUGCUAUGUACUCGCUAUCACUAUAUAGAAGAGUCAAAAAAUCAUUUAUCGCCAGAUUAAAGUUUUGCAUGUCUAUUCACCCAGUAUAGUAGUAAAUUCAUAAAUUUUUAUCACUACAAUAGUAUACUUAUAGAACUUUACCUGUAUAAUAAUAAAAUCACCUUAAUGGUUUGUUUUUGUCGUUGUAGAGAAUAAAGUUUAAUGAUCUGCUAUUAUAUUAGAUAAAAUACAGUUAUUUUAGUAUGACAAAAAUAAUUUUGUAACUUUAUUGUUACAAUAGGUAGAAUUUUGUGACGUUAUUGUUAUGGCAAGUAAAUAUAAUUCAAUUGCUUUUUAAAUGUGACAAAAAAAAAAAGUUUUAUGGUGUAUACAUUUUAAUGACGGUACAUGAUAGAAUCAUAGAGGUAAAUAGUUACUCGCCAGUCACCCCAGAUCUACACCAAACAAAUUCAAUUUAUCAAUAAUUAAAUAUAUGUUAUUCUUAUAUUGGUUUGAUAUAAACACUAUAUACUGAUAACCUUUUAUUGGUCAUAUGCCAUUCUUAUAAGUAUUAGUUUGGUAUAAAUACCAUAUACGGAUAACUUUUUAUUGGUCUUAAUUUGCAUAUGCAAAGGGAAACAACAAUGGAUAAAAUACUUCUAAUAGGAUUGUCCCCUUGAUUCCAUUAAUCGGUGAAUACACAAGAUGCCCGGCACAGUUGGUGUAGAUUAGAAAUUAAUGAUUAGAUGUUACGAAACUAGAUUAAAUUAGAACAUGUUCAGUCUUUAUGGAACAGCUAACAGUUGUUAAUAAAUCAUAAAUGUUACUACUUCCAUAUGAAUAUACUAGUAGUACGUAGUAUUUUUUGGUGUCUGCUAUGCUAUCUUCUGGGAAUGCGUGAAAAUCCAUUUCCCUUUAUCUCACUUCUAAGUAGUAAGAGUUGAAAGCUCUUAUUAAAAAAAAUAAGCUAAUGUUUUCUUUGACAUGAAAAAGAAGAGAAGCUAAGCUAGUUAAUUAAGGCCGAUUGAGCUUUAUAUAAGUUUCGUAUUAUACGUUGAUCGAUAAAGAAAAACAUAGUCUUACGUAUUUAACUGAUCUCAUGUCAGUCAAUUUUCGAAUAUAUUUUUUAUUCUCUGAAAAUUCUUUGAUAAAAGAGAUUGACUACUUUUCAGAGAAAAAAAUAUAUAAGUGAAACAGUGAAAGAUAAAUAAGUUCUAAAUUUUAAAUUAACUAUACAUGCAUUAGUUUUAUCUAGAGAAGGAUUAAAUUCAAUGAUUUAAGGAAAUUUAUACACGGAGGAAAUGCUUGUAUCUUGAGAGUUGAGACUACAACUUUAUAUUAUGCGUUUCUACUGUAAAGUUAGUUUCCAAAGGAUCGACAAUUAAGAACAAAAAAAGGAAAUUAAACGCCAAAAAAGAAAGGAUGGUGCGGAGCUAUUUCACUAGUUAGAAAGGUCUCAUAGGAGAUUAUCUUUCCCGAGUGUUUACCAAUUGAGGUUCUGCAACCAUUUUGUUGAUUGCUCAAAUGCUUAUAUUAAAAUUAAAAUCAUUUUUAACUGAAGAUAAAUAUUACUCGUUUUCGUUUAUUUUAUGUGUCGUAACUAGUAAAGUUAUUGUCAUGUGACUAGGAGGUCAUGACUUCAAGCCGUAAAAACAACCUCUUGCAGAAAUGCAAGGUAAGGAUGCGCACAAUAGAUCUUUGUGGUCUGGCCCUUCCUUGGACCCCACGCAUAGCGCGAGCUUAGUGCUAUGAACUUCCUUUUUUGUUUGACAAAGCACGGAUUUAAAAAAUAUAAAGAUCUAUGAAUCAAAUAAUUUCAAACUAAAUAUGUGUGUAACACACUAAAAUUGCUUUUGCAUCUUAUGAGCUUAAACAUGCUUAAUGAUUGACUAAUGGUAAAAAAUUAGAAUGUAACGAAUAUUUUUUUAUUAAAUAUAAAAAGAUGGUCUUUUAAAAUAGAUUUUAAAAGAACAUAAAAUACAUAAAAUAAAAUGAUAAAAUAGUAUCAAUAAAAUAACAAUAAUAAUAAUAAUAAUCAAAAAAAUCAACGGAGUCUUUCUCUAUUGAUAACUAACGAUCGAAGUGGGAUGAAUAAGAUCCCUUGACCUACAAUUAGAGGUUAAAGGUUCAGGUCGUUGAAAUGAUUUUUUUUUUUCUGAUAGAAAGUUCUCCCCUUUAAUGGAUCUUGUGCUAUGUAAAUCAGAAUAUAUUGAAUAUCAAUUCAAAUUGCGAACACCGAAUAAGAAACAAAGCAAUUCACUAUUGGGGAGGAAAACAGGUGAAAUUCAAAAAUAGUCAUAUUUAUAAGUGGUAAUUGAAAAAUAGCCACAAUUUCAAAAGUAAUCAAAAUGUAGUUACUUUUCAUGUAAAGAUAAAUUUGAACGAAAAUACUAUUCAAAAUCCGGAAAAUAUGGAGUUCGAGUAUAUUAUACUGGAACUUCGUCAUAAUAUAUUGGAGUUCCAGCAUAAUAUAUUGGUCUAGCAUAAUAUGCUAGAAGUUCAUACACAGGUGCUCCAAUCUCCAGUAUAUUAUGCUGGAACUUUUCGUGUGCUGGAGUUCCAGCAUAAUAGGCUGGAAGUUCAUACAUGGGUGCAUCAAUCUCUAGUAUAUUAUGCUGGAACUUUCCGUGUUGCAGUAAAAUAAUGGCUAUUUUUUUUAAUAACUUUACAACGCUGACUAUUUUUUAAUUAUCAGUUCGAAAAUUGGCUACCCCGUGCUAUUUUUACGAGGAAAAUGGAUUAUUAUAGAAGGUUGAUGAGUAGUAUUUUGGAAUUUAUUGGACGGCUAUCCAACAACGACAACUGGACAACACAUGGGAAAGUGGACAUGUCCCACCCACCACGUGGCCCUUCCUCCAUUUGGGCCUUGAAAGGAUCUAACUUUGGGCCGAAAACCAUAUGUCGACGAUCCCGAGUUUGAUCCAUUCAUGUACCUUUUUCCCUCUAGAAUAUGAAAUAGGUGUGAGAAAAUUAUUUUUUUAAAUAAAUCAAUGAAAUAGAUGCCUCCUAUCCCACAUGGUUUCCUUUAUUUUCUUCCGUUAAAAAGAUCUAUAUCAUACUUCCACUUAAGGAUAUAUUGACUAACUGACCCACCAUCCCAAGUAAAGUGAAUUUCAUUCGUCAAUCGAACGUUUGUGUUUUUAUUUUGGUUUCUCGCCAGGUGUUCAGUACCUGUAUUGGAACUCGACUUUAUCCGAAUUCGCAUCAAAUAGGACCUCAUUCGUGGGGAGCGCUCCUUACAAAAAAAAUUUACAUACCCAAGAUUCGAACCCGAUACUUUAAUGUACAUGAAUUAGGAUUUAAAGUUCUUAUCGAUUUUAUAAUUAGUUUUAAUUAUUGGGUUUAUAAUUAUAUAUAUAUAUAUAUAUAUAUAUAUAUAUUUAUUUAAUAGAUUUCUAAUAUAAAUAUAUAAUUUAAGCAAAAUCUACUAAAUUCGGCGCAACCGUACUUAAUACAACUGGUUCACCUUUUUAUUACUUUGCUUAUAGAUUAUUGAGUUUUAUAGUACUCUUUAUUCAAUCAUAAUCGUUAUUAAAAACUUCUUUAUCAUGCAAGAGAAGAAUUUUUAGUAACAUUAUCUUCUAAAUUCAACUAAAUUUAGAGCACAACUAUUUGCUCAAAAGUUCUGCCAUCUAGUUCAUAUGAUACAUCUUUUUCGAUCCAUUAUAUCUUGAAAAAAAAUUAUUUAAUAAAAACUCAUCUAAAGCAAAAAUUAUUUCUCUCAAAAUGAUAUUUUUAUUUGACAAAUACUCGUAUAAGUAUAUCAACAAUUUUUUGACAAACUUUUCUUUUAUUUCCAUGAUUGUGCUACCUUUCUAUCACCAUUAAAGGAAACGGAAAGGCAUUUUGAUUCCCUGGGCCCCAGAAAACUGCUGCUCCAUUUGAUAGGUAGUUGGAAAUAUGCGGAGACCAAGACAUAUGCCAAUAGGCAAUAGCAAAACGGGAUGUUUGAUCACCUGUAACGCACUAUUACAUGGCACCGUUGCAACCUCCCCUAAGAAAAACUCAACUACUCCUUGUUAAUUUUGAAUUUGUUAUAAGCUACCAUUAGAUAUUUUUGAUUUGCAUGAUUAUAAAAUUUGUUAAUACCUGUUCUGUAGAUGGAACAGAAAGUUAUAUUAAAGGAAAGGCUGUAUGCGAAGAAAAAAAAAGAAAAAGAAUACCUUUGAAUCAAGAAACUCCUUAGAACAUGUAUAGAUCGAAAGUUAUGACUUAAAGGCAUAUGUUCUCCAUAUGUUAAAUUAUACACGGUGUUUUCUAAUUUCAUAUUAACUUCACGAGCAAGUUUGAAUUUUUCGCUGAUCACAAUUGCCAAUCCACUAACAACACUAUAAAAAUUAUCAAAUAUAUAUAAAAAGGUACUAAUAAAAUCAAAAGCAAAAAAAGGCAAAAAAAUUCAAACCUUAAUCUAAAUAUAUAAGUCAUUGUAGUAUGUAUAUUUGCAUAGAAUAUACUUAGUAAUCAAUUCUACAAUAUAGGAAAAACAAAAUUUUAAAAAAGCAAAAUUUAGUGUAUGAGUUAUACUUGAAUAAUCAAAAAUAAAAGCUGCGAUGUCCCAAACACACAAUCAUGUAGCAAAAGCAUGAAUCAGAUAAAUGUGACUUAUUACUGGAGGAUUAGUGUCACGACCCCUUAGCUUGCCGUGUGUUUACCCGUAAAACGGUACAAUUUAAUUUAUACGUAAUUUUUAGAUAAGUGAAUUAAUUUGAUCCUGAAAUAAAUAAAUAAUUGAAGAAUUACGCAAUACUUAGCCUUAAGAUAUAGACGAAAUAACAGAAGCAACAAUUCCGGGAAUAAGGUUUCCGGGCACGACAACAAAAGGAUCGAGAAAUAAGACGAUAAGAUUUGAUUGAGCUUUGUAUAAAAUAUAGUGUAAGUUUGCCAGAAAAUUCGUGUCCUUUACAAUGACAAUUGAGCUCACUAUUUAUAGCUAUGAAGAAGGUCCUAGGGUCGUGCCCUUCUUUAAUGUCAAUUAUGAGGGGUAUUGAUGAAGAUGUAAUGGUGAACCUAAAUGCCAAAUUCUUUGUAACGGGUAAUUGCUCUAAAUACUAUGAAUAUUCUCUAUUAAAUGCUACCGGGAGAAGAGCAUUUAUCGCAUCCUUUUGAGCAUUAUUCUUCCCGGUGACAAACAAACAAUUGUCUUCAGUCUUCAGUCAUCCCCCUAUCUUGGGUUCCACGUAUCCCUUUCUCGGACGGCCACGUGUCAUAACAUAUUUUACUCAAUACAUAUAGUCUCCCUGCUUUCCGGUGACAUAACUUUGUGUUAUCGAAAAGUUGGUAGAAAUACUCUUUUGGCGGGAUAAUUCCCUCUGAAGGCUUCUGUCGGUUGAUUAGACGCAUGUCUCUUCGCAUUUAAUGUCCCGAACAUGCGUCUUCCCAGGAUUCAGCACAUCUUUUGCUGAUUAUCGAGGUAAUCCCGGCCAUGAAUUUAGUCGCCAAAACUUUUACUUAUACGUAUCAACUUCCACCCUUAUACGUCAUAACUUUUCAAAUUUCCUCCAUCUAACUUGCAUAUUGUUUCUUCCUCUUUUUUCUAAUUCUCUUCAAACGAAAGACCAUUCCUCUCCUAUAAUUCUACCUCAAAACGUACCGGUUCCUCAAAAAGCAAAAAUAAAGUCGAGGACUUUGAUCCUCCAACAGUGGGCUCCAUCAUCCCUAGAAGUCUUAUUACCACAAAAGACUUCGAAGAGAAAUUUCCUAUUGCUAAUUUUCGUAUAUGGGUCAUUAACAUGUAUCCUUUUUCCAUACGUUCUUCGAGCAUUCCUGCUGUGAAGGAAGACUGUCACUGCCAUGACUUAGAAAUUAUCACUCCUCAUCUAUCGGAGUGAGCCACCCUUCCCAAGGAGGGUUUUACAUAUGUUUACACGUAUCCCUUUACUUUGGAUGCGUUUUCUUUGAGCGAAGAGCUUGACUCUGUGAUUGUAGAGUUUUUCCUCCGUUAUCAGGUGUGUUUGGCACAAGUACGUCCUUCUGUGUAGAGGAUGGUUGCUUGCCUUGGGCGUUUAUGCCAGGAAACUAGAGAGGAGUUAACCUUAGCUCACAUGAUAAAUCUUUAUUCUCCCAAAAUCUUUCGCGGGGGAAUGAUAAACCCCUGCAAGCAUGGCCACCAUGUUUUAUUGUCUAGCAUGGAUGAUGACAACGAUCGUGGGUGGAUGGAACGGUUCGUUGCAAUUGCCACCGACGAUAUCAUUUCAGCAAUAGCUUAAUUUUUUUCGGUCGCUUGGAACCGCACUCGUAAGCUCUUUGUUUAGUAUUUCCUUUUACUAAAAAAUUUUAAUGGCCGUAUUGAUCCUACAUCCUUCUUUUGUUUUAGCAACUCGAUGGGUCCCACCAGUGAUUGAAGGUUUGGACCGGUGGGUACAAAAAAUCUUGGACGUUAUGACUCCCGAGACUCGCUUGUGGAAAGAAUUGGCCCCUAAAUACGGGUCGAAGGCCAAGAAUCGUGAUAAUUCAAACUCAUAUUGUUUCAAUUUUUCAUGUAAAGAACUUGAUUGAUCUCUUCUAACAUAUCUAUGAAAUUAGGUCUACCUGCGAGCUCUGUUCCUGUUCCCGAGGAGGAUGUCUUGGCUGAUGCUGCUGAUGCAGCGAGGCUGCUUCUGGAGGCGUUUAUUGAAUAGGUGGCUCCGAGCCUGCUUCGAAAGCAAAUGCUUCUUUUCGGAGUCCCCGUCUGGAAUACAAACAACCAAAGUGAAGACGCUCCUCUGUAGCCGGGGAAAAGAAUAAAAGGGUGAGGAUCGAUGCCCCCGAGUCAUCUCCGGUAGCGAUGGUGACUGGCCCUCCUUCUGGGCCGGUCAUAGACACCGUGAUGAUCGAUGAUGAUGAAGAAGCUAGUGAUGAUGGAUCUUCUCUACAUAGAAGACGACGAUCCUCAUCAUCUCAACAGGACGCUCAACCUGUUGAGAGAGUUACACUAACCGAGGACGAUGCCUCGGCACUUUGGGGAGAAUUUGAUUUAGUAAAUAAUGUCAAUUCCCAUUUUCGAGCGAGCUGAGUACCAGACCCUUGCCGUCUUUGGUUGGUGAGCAUCCAACAACCAGCACUGCAUUUGACGCAACUGCUUCUCAUUCUUCAACUCCAUCAGCUUCAUCUCCAUCUUCACCAACACCAGUAACUGCUACAUCACUUCCAUAUUCAUCCAUUCUUCCACCAACAAUUGCUACACCACCUCCGCCGGCCGCGUAUGACCAUGAAGAAGGUGUUCCUAUUCCACAGUCCCCAGUUUAUGGGAAUUUGGGGCAAAAUUAUGCUGCCCCUUCUGAUGAUCCACAAAGGAGGAGGAACGUUUCUCUUUCGGUCUCUACCGGAUGCAACUUGCUAUCCCGGCCGGUGGGGCUUGCUAAUUACCUGAAGCCUUUGGCUUCAGAGAAAGAGUGAGAAAAGAUUCAAGCACUCUCUAGAGAGUGUUUGUUGAAUAAUGCUAUGCAUAACGCCGCAGCGGUACGUUCCUUUCUUCCUUUAUUACUUCUUCUAUUUUUGGGUGUGAAUAUCUCCUAAAUUUUACCCUUAUUACUUUGUAGGCCACCUUUCUUGCUUCCGACGGCCUUCAGAGGUUGAUUCAUGAAAAAGAAGAGAUUAUCUCCGCACGGGAUCAGCUUUUGGUAGAGCAAGAGCAACAUGUCGUUCGCCUUUUGGAACUGGAAGCCAAAGCCGUUGAGGCUGUUGUAUUGGAAGCUCGUUUGCGGCGGAGUAAGCAAGAAGUAGUAGCCCUUAGCCAAGAAAUUGUCCCUCUGAGGGUUAGAUUUGAUGAAGCCAGGGCUAAAUGGGUUGAAGUCCAUAAUGCCGUUCUUGCUACAACUGAACAUGAGGCUGCCUCCGCUAAAAGAGUGAUUAACUUAGAGGCAUCCUUGAACUCCAAAAUUAAAGAGCUUGCUGCUAUGGGAGCGAAACACGCCCAGCUGGAAGAGAAGUACAUGGAAACUAUCGAGUAUAAUAGGCUCUUUAGUUCAACUGUCCGCGACCUUGAUGUCAGCCUCAAAUCUGCUAGGUUCGCCCGGGAAAACCUUUCUACCGAGGUAACCCAACUCAAAGAAGAACUCAAGUGCCGAGCGGCUUCCCUCGUUGUUGAAAAACCUUAUGCCAUGUACAUCAUGAGGAGAAAAAUCUUGGAAGAGGCCAAAGCUGGUGUCAUUGAAUUUGAUGCCGAAAUGGCUAAGGCCCGUGAGCUUGAGUUAGCUGCUAAAAGUGGGUUCCUAUCGAGUUCUGAUGCACCUGAUCCUUCUGGUUCUGGUUCUGAGUUUUCGGGAACUGAAGAAGAAUCGAAGGAUGAUGAUGUCGAAGGCCAAACUGGUGAAAAUGUUAAGUCAUCAGUGGAUCCGUCUACUUCUUCCGGGGGCGCGUACACUUCUCUUCCUCUUGGUUUCGGAGACAAUGCAGUUUAGCUUUUCUUUUCUUUUUCCAGUUCUUGUAUCUAUGCCAUUUUGUCAUUUUUUGUAAAUAAAAAUAUCUUUUGCUCUAGUAUUUUUUCAGUCUUCUCAUCGUUAGAAUAUUCAUGCAAGCCUUUAAUCUUUGAAUUUUCUUUAUGAAUUUUCCGCAGACUUUUUUGCAUCUUAUUAUGUGAAACUUUAGGGUGUAUUCUCCCCGAAAGCAUUUUUGGCUCUGGGCAUCAACCCUUUUUUGUGAGGGCUUUGAUAAGUAUUUGUGCAAGUUUACUUUUUGCGUCCUUUUCGUAUGCGGCUUCAGGUUUAUUUUUCCCCGAUAGCAUUUUUUAUUUCGGGUAUAAAUUCUUUCGAAACCAACCCUUUAACGUGAGGAUUUUUAUAAGAGAGGGCCCUCUUAUGUUUACGGUGCUCUUGAAUAUGUCGUCUCCUGUUCAUUACGGUACUAGCAUUUGAAAUACUUGUUUAAUUUUCAAAUGACAAAGUUAAUUCAUCGUUCAGACAAGAAACAAGAUAAAAAUAAAAGGAUUUCAUUUUAUUCCUUCUAUUUUCAAAAAAUACAUAAGAAUUUGCUAUGCUGAAAAGAAAUUGACAUUACUUGUGGCUAACUUGUAUAACUUGUUUCUACGGGGCUGUUCGUGUAGUCCCCGAUCUCGAUGAUGUAAUUAUAUUUCUGGUUUUUCGUUCCCGGUCGACGUGGCUGUCAUUGUUGACGUAUCCUCAUAUCAUUCCUCCCCCCAGUGUUCGAAUGCGAAGAAUACGAAUUGGAAUACUGGAAGUCUUGUAUCUUCGAAGACUCCACUAAUGCAUUGCUAGAUAAUCCUUAACUUCGUAACACACUUUACUUCCCCUUAGGAAUUUAUGCUAUCGAGCGAAGGACUAUCUAACAACUCUCUAGUGGUUUGUGCUCGUGUAUGAUUAGAUAUCCUUUGCUCAAUAGCAAACUUAACUUCCCGGUGGGAAUUUGCUAUAGAGCAAAAGAUUAUCUAACCAUCCCCAAGUGGAUAUCUUUUUGUGUGCCUUGCUAUUAAAGGUCUUAUUGAUGCUGUCUUCGUAGUAUGCUUUCUGUUGCUGCCUCGUUAAAAACCUAGCCAGUAAAACCCUAUUGGAACAAAAACUGAACGAAGGGAAAAAGAGUGCAACACAUAUUUUUUGAUCGGAUAAUGUUCAUCAACAAUAAUAUCCUUUGAGGUGUGACACAUUCUAAUUGCUGAAAACUUCUCUCCAUUUUGGUUUUCCAACACGUAUGAACCUUUUUCGGUGAUAGCUGAAACCCGGUAGGGGCCUUCCCACGUUGGACCUAGUUUCCCCGCGUUGAGCUCCCGGGUAUUGUGAGUUACUUUCCUUAGGACCAAGUCACCUACUUUGAAAUAACGGAGGUUGGCUUUUCGAUUAUAAUACCGCUCAAUUCUUUGCUUUUGAGCUACCAUUCUUACAUAUGCCAAUUCCCUGCGUUCAUCAAGCAGUUCCAAGUUGACAAGCAUUGCUUCGUUGUCCGAUUCUUCUUCUUCCUGGAAGUAUCCCCUAUGCUUCACAAGAAAUCCACCACUUCGCGUUCUUCAAUUUUCUGAUGAGGACCUACUUCCACCCACAUAGAAAAAUAGUCAGUUAAAUUUAAAAGAAAUCUUACCUUUCCGGGAGUCAGUGGUAAUGGUCCGACGAUGUCCAUUCCCCAUUUCAUGAACGUCCACAGAGAUAAAAUCGAAUGUAAGGGUUAUGUCGGUUGAUGCACCAGUGGCGCGUAGCAUUGACACUUUUCACAUUUCCACACGAAGUCCCUGGCAUCUUGUUCCAUAUAGGGCCAGUAAUAUCCUGCCUUUACCAACUUCAACAGCAAGGAAUCUGCACUCAAGUGGUUUCCGCAUAUCCUUUUUUGAACCUCUCUCAUAACAUAGUUAUCUUCAGACGCUCCUAAGCAUCGGGCCAGCGGGCCUUGAAAAGAUUUUCUAUACAAUUGGCCUCCCUUGAAGCUAUAUCGCGCUGCUUUGGCGCGCAGCGCCCAAAACAUUUAGGGGUCUUCAGGUAGCUUCCCAUGUUCGAGAUAAUCGAUAAUUUCAUUCCUUUAGUCCCAGACCAGACUAGUUGAAUUUACCUAGUAGUAACCAUCUGUAUCCAGGACUGAGUUCAUCAGUUGUACUACCGACCCGGACUCCGAUCCCUUUGUUUUUGUUUAUGAUCCUAGGUUUGCCAAUGUGUCUGCUUCUGCGCUUUCUUCCCUUGGGAUAUAAGUAAUUGACCACUCUCGGAAUCGCGCCAACAAAGCUUGAACCUUUACUACAUAUUGUUGCAUGCGCUACUCUUUGGUCUCGAAGAUCCCGUAGACCUGAUUUACCACUAGCCGUGAGUCGCAUUUGAUUUUGAUGACCUCAGAGUCAAGUCCCCAGGCCAACUCGAGUCCUACAAUCAAAGCUUCAUGCUCUGCUUCAUUGUUAGUUAAAUGGAUCGUCCUGAUGGCUUGCCUCAGGGUUUCCCCCGAAGGCAUGAUUAAGACUAUACCGAGCCCGGACCCUUUCACGUUGGAAGCUCCGUCCGUAAAUAAGGUCCAAACCCCUGAUGUCGAUUCUGACAUCAUCAUUGCUUCCUUGGUUGCUUGAGGCAAUAAUCCCGAACUGAAAUCCGCCACGAUUUUAGCCAAGACUUGCGACUUAAUCGCAGUCCUCGGUUUAUAUUCUAUGUCGAACUCACUCAUUUCGACGGCCCAUUUGGUCAAUCUACCCGAGAGCUCGGGUUUAUGGAGGAUGUUUCGCAAAGGAAAAUUAGACACCACGACUAUCAAGUGUCAUUGGAAAUAGGGCCUUACCUUUCGAGCGACGACUAAGAGAGCUAAGGCCAGUUUUUCCAAAUGUGGGUAACGAGUUUCUGCUCCCGUUAAAUCUUUACUAACAUAAUAGAUGGGAGAUUGCGUACCUUCGUCUUCUCGAACUAAAACCGGACUUACCACAACUUUCGAGAUCGCGAGGUAAACUAGCAACGUUUUCCCUUCUUUUGGUUUUGAAAGCAAUGAAGGGCUUGACAAGUACUUCUUUAAAUACCUCAAAGCCUGAUGGCACUCCGGGGUCCAUUAGAAAUUAUUUUUCUUUUUGAGCAAUGCGAAGAAACGAUAACACUUUUCUGAUGAUCAAAAAAUGAAUCUACUCAAAGAUGCCAAUCUCCCCGUAAGCCUUUGGACUUCAUUCAUGCUUGUCAGUUGGUCCGGGAUAUCCUCUAUGGCCUUGAUAUUAUCGGGGUUUACUUCAAUCGUCCUUUGUGAUACCAAAAAUCCCAGAAACUUACCAGAGUUGACUCCGAACGCGUAUUUCUCGGGAUUAAGCUUCAUAUUAUGCUUCCUUAGGAUGUAGAAAGUCUCUUGCAGAUGUUUAAAAUGAUCACCUGUAUUUGAAGACUUAACGAGCAUAUCGUCUAUAUAAGCUUCUAUAGUUUUUCCUAUUUGAUUUUCAAACAUCUUGUUCACGAGCCGUUGAUAAGUGGCUCCAGCAUUUUUCAACCCGAAGGGCAUCACUUUGUAACAAUAUAUAUCAAAAUUCGUUAUAAACGAAGUUUUUUCCUAAUCUUCCAGAUUCAUCUUAAUUUGGUUGUACCCAGAAUAAGCAUCGACAAAACUCAUUAACUCGUGCCCGGCCGUGGCAUCAAUUAUUUGAUCGAUGUUUGACAGUGGAAACGAGUUUUUCGGACACGCCUUAUUAAGAUCUUUAUAAUCUAUGCACAUACAAAACUUAUUGUUCUUUUUAGGAACUACUACUACAUUAGCUAGCCAAUCUGGAUAUCUUACCUCUCGGAUCGAACCAAUAUUAAGUAAGCGGGUUACCUCUUCUUUGACGAAUUUAUUCCUGGCUUCGGCGAUCGGGCGCUUCUUCUGUCUUACCGGAGGUAUGUUAGGAUCCAAGCUUAACUUGUGUGCGAUUACCUCUGUCGGGAUACCUGUCAUACCCUCAUGCGACCAUGCAAAACAAUCGACGUUAGAUUUAAGGAAUUUAAUGAAGUCGGACCUGAGUUCCGGGUGUAGUCCUAUCCCCAGGUGGAAUUUCCUUUCUAGGAUUUCCUCGAACAAUGCCACUUGCUCUAGCUCUUCCGAUGUGCACUUCGUCGCAUCGCUCUUCUAGAACUUGGAAAUAUCUCGGCACCUGAUUAUCUUUCGACGCCUGGCUAACUUCAUCUAGUUCAGAAGUAUGUGUCGGGUCCUGUAAUUGCUAUGCCACGUGUUUAUUUCCUUUGCUAUUGGAGACUGAAAUUUCAUUCUUCUCCCUUGCCGCCGGUUGGUCUCCACCUAUCUGCUUAAUUCCCUCGGGUGUUGGAAACUUCAGCAAUUGAUGGUAUGUUGAUAGUAAAACUUUCAUCUCGUGCAACCAUGGCCUUCCCAGAAUGAUGUUGUAUCCUAUAUCACCAUCUACCACUUCGAAAAGAGUUGUUUUCAUUACUCCUUCAGCGUUUGUGAGUAAUAAAAUUUCUCACCGAGUUGUCACACUUGUGAGAUUGAAUCCGGCAGGGAGCUUUUUGGCCGGAAUAAUGCUUCCGGUGAGUUUUGCUUGCUCCAAUACUCUUCAUUAUAUGAUAUUAGCCGAACUCCCUGGAUCCACUAAAACAUGUUUUAUCUUAAAAUCUAGCACAUUUAAAGAAAUUACCAAUGCGUCGUUGUGUGGUAGCAACAAUCCGUGUGCAUCCUCCUGUGUAAAAGUGAUAUCGUCUUCCCGAAGCCUUUUGCUAUGUGUUAUUGAUACUUUCGUCUUCUUUGUUGCUGAAAAGGUGACCCCGUUAAUCUCGUUCCCUCCGAAGAUCAUGUUGAUUGUUUGACGCAGGGGAUCUUCUCCCAUUUUUAAGGGUUCCGCAUUGUCUCGGUUACAACCAUAUUUGUUCUUAGCUCGGUCACUCAAGAAUUCUCUGAGGUGACCAUUCUUUAGUAAUGUUGCCACUUCUUCCCGGAGAUAUUGACAGUCCCCUGUCCGGUGGCCAUUCAUCCUGUGGUAUUCAUACCACAAGUUGGGAUCCCUCUGGUUAGAAUCAGAUCUCAUCGGUUUUGGGAACCGUGCUUCUUUGAUGUUUCUCAUGGCCGAUACCAAUUCCACUAUACUGACGUUGAAGUUGUAUUCUGAUAAUUUGGGGUAGGAAGUAUCUCGUGAUCCUGCCACUUUUUUAUCCUGCAGUGAUCGAUUAUUCCAAUCGCGAUCGGUCCUCCUGUUGAUCGUGAACAUGUCCGCUGUCCGAAAACCUCUGCUGCGGCCUUCCGUUCGUUCGUAAGGCAAAAAUCGCCCCCUCGAAGUCCGCAUCAUAAUCAUCUUUUGAUUUUUCCUUAUUCUUUUUUCGUCCUUUGGUCUACGAUGAAAAACCAACUUGAUCAUCUUCGAUCCUUAUUUUUGAUUCAUACCGGUUGUGGACGUCCGCCCAGGUCAUUGCUUGAAACUCGAGUAGGCUCUCUUUCAAUUUCCAGGAAGCGUCUGAACUCCCCAAAUUCAAUUCUUUGGUGAACGCCUCAGCCGCCCAUUCAUCUGGGACAGUCGAGAGCAACAUUCUCCCCUUCUAGAAUCGGGUAACAAACUCUCGUAGCAGCUCGGACUCUCCUUGCGCUAUCCUUAAUAUGUCGGCCUUUCGGGCCUGUACUUUUCUUGCCCCGACAUGAGCCUUGAUGAAAGAAUCCGCAAGUAUUUCGAAGGAAUCUAUAGAAUGCUCGGGUAACAGCGAAUACCACGUCAAGGCCCCCCUCGUGAGGGUUUCUCCUAAUUUCUUCAGCAGCACAAAUUCAAUUUCGUGUAGAGCUAAAUCAUUCCCCUUUAUCGCCGUUGUGUAGGUGGUAAUAUGCUUCUGGGGGUCUGAAGUUCCGUCAUACUGUGGCAUUUCAGGCAUUUUGAACCACUUUGGGAUUAACUCUGGUGCCGCACUUGGCUUGUACGACAAUUGAGUAUACUUCUUCGUGUCCGGACCUUUCAGCACUGGUGGCGCUCCCGGGAUCUGGUCCAUGCAGGCGUUUACUUCCCUCAUGAACCGUAAAAGUUCAUUCUUGAAAGAAUCAUUCUCGUUGUUGAGACCAGAUCCGUUCCCCCUGCCCCAUCGAAGCCAAUUUAAUUAUUCGGCUAUCUAGUCCCCACGGUGGGCGCCAAACUGUUUACCCGUAAAACAGUACAGUUGAAUUUAUACAUGGUUUCUAGAUAAAUGAAUUAAUUUGAUCCUGAAAUAAAUAAAUAAUUGAAGAAUUACGCAAUACUUAGCCUUAAGAUAUAGACGAAACAUCAGAUGCAACAAUUUUGGGAACAAGGUUUCUCGGCACAACAACAAAAGGAUCGAGAAAUAAGACGAUUAGAUUGGAUUGAAUUUUGUAUAAAAUAAAGUAACAGAAAAGGAUGCGCAAAAAAAGGGAGUGAAGGAAAACUAAUGAUAUAGUCGCUCUAAAAAAUAAUAGCCGAUAAAAUUUAUAUAUUUAUACAUAAUAUACAAAAAAAAUAUAAGUAUUUUAUAUAUAAUUAUUUUUUUUGUAUAUUAACUAAUAAAUAUAAUUAUUUUUGAAAGACCAACCAAAAAAUAAAUCGGCCUAAAAUGAAUCACACGGUAAAAGUGGAAAGACAGCCACUCGUCCGACAAACUCCCGACCGCGGAGAAUGGCUCUUCCUUAUGGCCUUCUGGGAUACACUCUCUCCCCUGAUCUGGCACAUAUGCUAAUUUCUCCUCCUCCUCCCCCGCAAAAAAAAACAAAAACAAAGGAAAAACAAUCAGAGAGUAUCUAGAAUGUAUACCCCAGACACUCCGGCGCAAGUUAGUGAGUCCCCAUUAAUAUCCUGCUUCAGUUUCUUACAUUACCGAAAAUACCCUCGAUUUCUGCGCCUGAUGUUAAAACCUGUUGGAUAAUUACGUCAUUUAAACAGUAUCUAAGUCAUUAUAAAAUGCCCUUCGUUCACCUCUAUCAACUUUAGUCGCAAAAUAAACUCACAACACUACAUACAGACAAAACCACACGUAGCGUACAUUAAUUCUCCCACCGGCCCUCACCGGAAUCUUGUUUUCACGGUCACCGGCCGUUCAACCUUUUACUGACUUCCCCUUUUUCUUUUUCUUUCAGCUCAGAGGUCAUAUAAUUAACCUCCGAUCUGAAGUAGUAGUUAUAUAUAUAUAUAGCUGCUUCUUUUUAUUCUCAGAACGAAAGAACCCCUGAGCUGGGUAAAGUGGAGUUCGCGAUGGGAUUUUGUAUCUGUCCUUUGGAAACUCCUGCUAGAUUGCUGUGGAGUACUAGUUUCUUCCGCCACAAGCUCAUGCUCUUUUGAAACUUAGUCAACGAUCUCUUUUUCUAUACAUAUCCCUGCUAAAAGAACUCUGUUCUCGAGUUUUUCUUUUCUGUGUUUACACAUUUAUAAACUUCUGUGUGUGUAAAUAUAUUUUCUACGGCGAUCGUCCAAAUCAUUGAAAAUAUGG